rnacentral:rRNA from 1 species
AUUGAACGCUGGCGGCAUGCCUUACACAUGCAAGUCGAACGGUAACAGGUCUUCGGAUGCUGACGAGUGGCGAACGGGUGAGUAAUACAUCGGAACGUGCCUAGUAGUGGGGGAUAACUACUCGAAAGAGUGGCUAAUACCUCAUGAGAUCUACGGAUGAAAGCAGGGGAUCGCAAGACCAUGUGCUACUAGAGCGGCCGGUGGCAGAUUAGGUAGUUGGUGGGAUAAAAGCUUACCAAGCCGACGAUCUGUAGCUGGUCUGAGAGGACGAUCAGCCACACUGGGACUGAGACACGGCCCAGACUCCUACGGGAGGCAGCAGUGGGGAAUUUUGGACAAUGGGCGAAAGCCUGAUCCAGCAAUGCCGCGUGCAGGAUGAAGGCCUUCGGGUUGUAAACUGCUUUUGUACGGAACGAAAAGCCCCGGGUUAAUACCCUGGGGUCAUGACGGUACCGUAAGAAUAAGCACCGGCUAACUACGUGCCAGCCGCCGCCGUAA